ACCCUUGAUCCACACAGCCAAACGACACCCUUUUUCUUCUUCUUUCCACAACAACAGCGAACAAAACGACCCCUUCUCAAUCAGAACAGUAGAAAAACGACCCAUUUCCAUUUUUUCUUCAACAACAGCCAGUAAUCAAACAAACCCUAAGCCUUUCAAACCAAAAAAAAAUCCAUCGAAUUUCCAGCUGUCUUCCUCCAUUUUUGGCUAUGACUCAAAAGAUUUUUACGUUUUUAGUGGUUGUCUGUACAUUUUUGGUACGAAUUUGUACUUCUUCACAGCUGUCCAGUUUGGAAUUCAAAUUCUUAAAGGAAUUUCAGUCAAGUAAAAAUCCCACAUCGUUGGUUUACACAAGUUUGAACAUUUUUGGGAACCCAUUCCCUUCAUAUUGAAAAGAGAGGAAAAAUGGCUUUGAGACCAGAAAAUUGGUUCUUAUACCGUUACGUGGGUUUUUCAUAACCCUAAGAGUAAGAAAACUUAGAAAUCCGGUUAACCCGUUGAAUUUCGAGGAUGUUCUCGCUCAAAUAUAAUUUUUAGAAGUCGUUUCCGCUCGUUGGAAUACGACUCGGGUGAAAGGCGGUUCAUCAACUCCAGUCGCCCCCGUCGCUGCUCGACAAAAAGGUCGCUUGGACCUUUCACCAUUGCAUAAUUAUGUGUUUCCAGAGAGUCGAGCCCACCUCCUUAGCCAACUGAACAGAAAAAAGGGGAGAGCAGGCCUAAGCUUGAGCAUGAAGACCAACAACCGAAUCCCUCUUUAGACGAACAGAAAAGGGGAUUGGGCCAAAAUUCUCACAAUAAUAGAUUUGGGUUGAGGCUUGAAUCUGCCUUGAUUUAGUUUCAAUUCAUGUAUUGUUACUAUUGUACAAUUAUUGCAUAAUCACACUUACACUUUACUUGUUUUCUCUUAUUUAACUUAGAUGGAUCCCCAAAUGAGAA